CCUACGGGAGGCAGCAGUGGGGAAUCUUGCGCAAUGGGCGAAAGCCUGACGCAGCCAUGCCGCGUGAAUGAUGAAGGUCUUAGGAUUGUAAAAUUCUUUCACCGGGGACGAUAAUGACGGUACCCGGAGAAGAAGCCCCGGCUAACUUCGUGCCAGCAGCCGCGGUAAUACGAAGGGGGCUAGCGUUGCUCGGAAUUACUGGGCGUAAAGGGAGCGUAGGCGGAUAGUUUAGUCAGAGGUGAAAGCCCAGGGCUCAACCUUGGAAUUGCCUUUGAUACUGGCUAUCUUGAGUACGGAAGAGGUAUGUGGAACUCCGAGUGUAGAGGUGAAAUUCGUAGAUAUUCGGAAGAACACCAGUGGCGAAGGCGACAUACUGGUCCGUUACUGACGCUGAGGCUCGAAAGCGUGGGGAGCAAACAGGAUUAGAUACCCUGGUAGUCCACGCUGUAAACGAUGAGUGNUAGUUGUCGGUCGAUGCAUGCAUGUCGGUGACGCGAGCUACGACAUAAGUACACGUCCGCCGUCGGGAGGUACGGUCGCGAGAAGUUAAACUACAAUUAGAGUAGUUAGCGUGAGACGNGCCGACGGACGACGACGAGGGAGGAGG
rnacentral:rRNA from 1 species